UGGGGAAUUUUGGACAAUGGGCGAAAGCCUGAUCCAGCAAUGCCGCGUGUGUGAAGAAGGCCUUCGGGUUGUAAAGCACUUUUGUCCGGAAAGAAAUCCUUGGCUCUAAUACAGUCGGGGGAUGACGGUACCGGAAGAAUAAGCACCGGCUAACUACGUGCCAGCAACCGCGGUAAUACGUAGGGUGCAAGCGUUAAUCGGAAUUACUGGGCGUAAAGCGUGCGCAGGCGGUUUGCUAAGACCGAUGUGAAAUCCCCGGGCUCAACCUGGGAACUGCAUUGGUGACUGGCAGGCUAGAGUAUGGCAGAGGGGGGUAGAAUUCCACGUGUAGCAGUGAAAUGCGUAGAGAUGUGGAGGAAUACCGAUGGCGAAGGCAGCCCCCUGGGCCAAUACUGACGCUCAUGCACGAAAGCGUGGGGAGCAAACAGGAUUAGAUACCCUGGUAGUCCACGCCCUAAACGAUGUCAACUAGUUGUUGGGGAUUCAUUUCCUUAGUAACGUAGCUAACGCGUGAAGUUGACCGCCUGGGGAGUACGGUCGCAAGAUUAAAACUCAAAGGAAUUGACGGGGUCAUAGCUGUUUCCU
rnacentral:rRNA from 1 species